GAUGAACGCUGACAGAAUGCUUAACACAUGCAGGUCUUUGGCGAAUCUGUGCUUGCACAGGCUAGCCAAGGCGGACGGGUGAGUAACGCGUAAAGAAAUUGCCCUGCAGACAGGGAUAACAGACGGAAACGACUGAUAACACCUGAUACAGUUGCCGGCACGCAUGUGCCUGGCAAUGAAAAGAGAUGCUGCAGGAGAGCUUUGCGUCCUAUUAGCUUGUUGGUGAGGUGACGGCUCACCAAGGCGAUGAUAGGUAGCCGGCCUGAGAGGGUGAACGGCCACAAGGGGACUGAGAUACGGCCCUUACUCCUACGGGAGGCAGCAGUGGGGAAUAUUGGACAAUGGGGGCAACCCUGAUCCAGCAAUUCUGUGUGCACGAAGAAGGUUUUCGGAUUGUAAAGUGCUUUCAGCAGGGAAGAAGAAAGUGACGGUACCUGCAGAAGAAGCGACGGCUAAAUACGUG
rnacentral:rRNA from 1 species